GGUUAAGCGACUAAGCGUACACGGUGGAUGCCCUGGCAGUCAGAGGCGAUGAAGGACGUGCUAAUCUGCGAUAAGCGUCGGUAAGGUGAUAUGAACCGUUAUAACCGGCGAUUUCCGAAUGGGGAAACCCAGUGUGUUUCGACACACUAUCAUUAACUGAAUCCAUAGGUUAAUGAGGCGAACCGGGAGAACUGAAACAUCUAAGUACCCCGAGGAAAAGAAAUCAACCGAGAUUCCCCCAGUAGCGGCGAGCGAACGGGGAGCAGCCCAGAGCCUGAAUCAGUGUGUGUGUUAGUGGAAGCGUCUGGAAAGGCGCGCGAUACAGGGUGACAGUCCCGUACACAAAAAUGCACAUAUUGUGAGCUCGAUGAGUAGGGCGGGACACGUGGUAUCCUGUCUGAAUAUGGGGGGACCAUCCUCCAAGGCUAAAUACUCCUGACUGACCGAUAGUGAACCAGUACCGUGAGGGAAAGGCGAAAAGAACCCCGGCGAGGGGAGUGAAAAAGAACCUGAAACCGUGUACGUACAAGCAGUGGGAGCCUCUUUUAUGG
rnacentral:rRNA from 1 species